GAUGAACGCUGGCGGCGUGCCUAAUACAUGCAAGUCGAGCGAACGGACGAGAAGCUUGCUUCUCUGAUGUUAGCGGCGGACGGGUGAGUAACACGUGGAUAACCUACCUAUAAGACUGGGAUAACUUCGGGAAGCCGGAGCUAAUACCGGAUAAUAUUUUGAACCGCAUGGUUCAAAAGUGAAAGACGGUCUUGCUGUCACUUAUAGAUGGAUCCGCGCUGCAUUAGCUAGUUGGUAAGGUAACGGCUUACCAAGGCAACGAUGCAUAGCCGACCUGAGAGGGUGAUCCGCCACACUGGAACUGAGACACGGUCCAGACUCCUACGGGAGGCAGCAGUAGGGAAUCUUGCCGAAUGGGCGAAAGCCUGACCGAGCCACGCCGCGUGAGUGAAGAAGGUCUUCGGAUUGUAAAACCCUGUUAUUAGGGAAGAAAAGAAGUGGAAGUAAACGUGGACAUUCUGACGGUACCCAAUGAAAAAGCCACGGCUAACUACGUG
rnacentral:rRNA from 1 species